GACGAACGCUGGCGGCGUGCUUAACACAUGCAAGUCGAACGGAAAGGCCCUGCUUUUGUGGUGUGCUCGAGUGGCGCACGGGUGUGUAACACGUGAGUAACCUGCCCUUGACUUUGGUAUAACUUCAGGAAACUGUGUCUUAUACCGGAUAGGAGCUCCUUCUGCAUGGUGGGGGUUGGAUAUUUUCGGCGGUUGGGGAUGGACUCCCGGCUUAUCAGCUUGUUGGUGGGGUAGUGGCUUACCAAGGCUUUGACGGGUAGCCGGCCUGGGAGGGUGACCGGCCACAUUGGGACGGAGAUACGGCCCAGACUCCUAGGGGAGGAAGCAGUGGGGAAUAUUGAAAAAUGGGCGGAAGCCGGAUGCAGCAACGCGGCGUGCGGGAUGACGGCCUUCGGUUGGUAAACCGCUUUCGCCGGGGACGAAGCGUGAGUGACGGUAAUGGGUAAAGAAGCACCGGCUAACUACGUG
rnacentral:rRNA from 1 species